rnacentral:rRNA from 1 species
UGGUUUGAUCCUGGCUCAGGAUGAACGCUGGCGGCAUGCCUAAUACAUGCAAGUCGAACGGAGUGAAGCCUUCGGGUUUCAUUCAGUGGCGAACGGGUGAGUAAUACGCAGGGAACCUGGCCAUGGCAGGGGGAUACACUCUGGAAACGGAGCAUAAGACCCCAUAGGCAGUAAGGCGGCAUCGCCUUACUGUUAAAGAAAGCUGAAAGGCUUUGGCGAUGGAUGGACCUGCGGUGCAUUAGCUUGUUGGUGAGGCAACGGCUUACCAAGGCGAUGAUGCAUAGCCGGCCUGAGAGGGCGGACGGCCACACUGGGACUGAGACACGGCCCAGACUCCUGCGGGAGGCAGCAGUAGGGAAUUUUCGUCAAUGGGCGCAAGCCUGAACGAGCAAUGCCGCGUGAGUGAGGAAGGUCUUCGGACUGUAAAGCUCUGUUGCCGGGGAAAAAGGGGAAAUGCAGGAAAUGGCAUUUCAUGGAUGGUACCCGGCCAGAAAGCCACGGCUAACUACGUGCCAGCAGCCGCGGUAAUACGUAGGUGGCGAGCGUUAUCCGGAAUGAUUGGGCGUAAAGGGUGCGCAGGCGGUCUGUUAAGUCUGAAGGCAAAGGGAUGAGCUCAACUCAUUUAUGAUUCAGAAACUGGCAGACUUGAGGACAGGAGAGGGCGGUGGAACUCCAUGUGUAGCGGUAAAAUGCGCAGAGAUAUGGAAGAACACCAGUGGCGAAGGCGGCCGCCUGGCCUGUGACUGACGCUGAGGCACGAAAGCGUGGGGAGCAAAUAGGAUUAGAUACCCUAGUAGUCCACGCCGUAAACGAUGAGGAGCAGGUGUUGGGAGUGAAAUCUCAGUGCCGAAGCCAACGCAGUGACUCCUCCGCCUGGGGAGUAUGCACGCAAGUGUGAAACUCAAAGGAAUUGACGGGGGCCCGCACAAGCGGUGGAGUAUGUGGUUUAAUUCGAAGCAACGCGAAGAACCUUACCAGGUUUUGACAUCGGAUGCGAAGGCGCAGAGAUGCGCUGGAGGCUAUCAUCCAGACAGGUGGUGCAUGGUUGUCGUCAGCUCGUGUCGUGAGAUGUUCAGUUAAGUCUGGCAACGAGCGCAACCCCCGUGGUAUGUUACUAACGCAUUUGGGCGAGGACUCAUAUCAGACUGCCGGUGACAAACCGGAGGAAGGCGGGGAUGACGUCAAAUCAUCAUGCCCCUUAUGACCUGGGCUACACACGUACUACAAUGGCGUCUACAGAGGGAAGCGACCCUGAGAAGGGAAGCGAAACCGGAAAAGGGCGUCCCAGUUCGGAUUGAAGUCUGCAACCCGACUUCAUGAAGAUGGAAUCGCUAGUAAUCGCGGAUCAGCAUGCCGCGGUGAAUACGUUCCCGGGCCUUGUACACACCGCCCGUCAAACCAUGGAAGCCGGCAACGCCCGAAGCCGGUGGCAUAACCUUUUAGGAGUGAGCCGUCGAAGGCGGGGCCGAUGACUGGGGUUAAGUCGUAACAAGGUACCC